ensembl:lncRNA
AUCUGCAUUUUCACUGUGGCCUGUCGUGUGAGGUCAGGUGUGGAAUUUUCCACUUGUGGUAUGUUGGCGCUCAAAAAGUUUUGGAUUUUGGAGCAUUUCGGAUUUCAGAUUUUCAGGUUAGAGAUACUCAACCUAUACUACGUGUUGUGGCCGGAUGCUUUACAUUUACCAUUAGUAGUUCACGGGCUGGGCUCGGUGGCUCACGCCUGUAAUCCCAGCACUUUGGAAGGCCGCGGCAGGCGGAUCACCUGAGGUCAGGAGUUCGAGACCAGCCUGACCAAUAUGGUGAAACCCUGUCUCUACUAAAAAAUACAAAAAUUAGCCGGGCAUAGUGGCACACGCCUGUAAUCCCAGCUACUCUGGAGGCUGAGACAUGAGAAUCACUUGAACCCAGGAGGUGGAGGUUGCAGUGAGCCAAGAUCGCGCCACUGCACUCCAGCCUGGGUAACAGGGUGAGACCUUGUCUCAAAAAAUAAAUUAAAAAAAAAAAAAAAAAAAAGUUCACGGAACCUCAUGAUUAGAUGAGAUGGCUGUGGCAAGCUGGCUGCCCAGGAAGCGGACUCAGAGAGUAAGCCGUGCCCCUGCGUUCUACAAUGGUAGGGAGCGUUAGGAAGAACUGAAGAGCAGACAGACAUAGCGCCAGCAACCCGCCUCCACCCCAAGGGGAUUCAGGGGCUGGAGAUCCCUGCAGUUGCCUGGCAUUCCUGCAGUUGCCAAGGGGUGGGGCUGGGCUUUUGUUCCUCCCGUAUUAUUCAGUCAUUGGCUGUGGGCGCCCAGGAAGAAGCGUGACCUUGGGUGGGGCAGUCUUCUUCAGCCAAUCCUCAGAGAGGACUAACAGCCCUCCCAGCAGAGGGAGAUUAAGUCCUUCACUCCCGGGAGGUGUCUGGGAAGCACAUCCCAGUGUGUACCGCAGCAGCUAUGCAUGUGUCGUUUUACCCAUGAGAAAUCGGAAGUUCAGAAGGGACAGAGCCAGGAUGUGAGCCUAGAUCUAUUAACACCUGUGAAUCCUGUGCUGUUUUCCACCAUUCUUGCUGCCAAUUCGGCACAUUUUCAUGCCUCUCGACUUCUUACGGUGCCCGCCAUAUUCCCAGAUGGAGUCUUGCUCUGUCGCUCAGGCUGGAGUGUGGUGGUGCGAUCUCGGCUCAUUGCAACCUUCACCUCCUAGGUUCAAGUGAUUCUCCUGCCUCAGCCUCCUGAGUAGCUGGGAUUACAGUAGCAUGCCAUCAUACCCAUCUGAUUUUUUAUAUUUUUGGUAGAGAUGGGGUUUCAUCAUGGUGACCAGUCUGGUUUCAAACUCCUGACCUCAAGUGAUCCAUCCGCCUGCCUCAGCCUCCCAAAGUACUGGGAUUACCGGCAUGAACCACCGCACCCAGCAUCUAUCUACAUGUCAUUUUCAGCCAUCUUGACUUGAAUCGCCUGGUUUUAUUUGGUCAAGGAAAGCUGAGGACAAUGGUCAAACUUACUAUGUGGGUCUUUGAGACAAAGUAACCAGCUGAUUGACUGUCUUUUCUGCUCAGCAGGACUUGCUGGCACUGAAAGCCAUGAAGAGUAACUGAACGGAGGCGAAUAAGCUCAUAGCUUGGGAGGAAACAGCAACAUAGCAACGUCUUUAUUUUUGCCUUAUUGAUAUAACCUUGUUCACAAAGAAGACAUGGAAGGGAAGGGACUUGGAGAGUGAGAGAGGAAACAGAAAAGAAAGAUUCUGAGGAAGGGCCAGGAGGAAGCAAAUAGAGCUUCCAGUUCACGCUCCGGGAGUAUUCAAAGUGUCCAUGGGAGAGCUAUGGGUGGGCUUGCUUCACAUGCAGGGGGAGGCCUGGCUAUAGCUACCUUCCUCCCAGCUCUGACCCCAAAGUGAGGUC